rnacentral:rRNA from 1 species
CUACGGGCCGCUGCAGUGGGGAAUAUUGCACAAUGGAGGAAACUCUGAUGCAGCAACGCCGCGUGGAGGAUGACACUUUUCGGAGCGUAAACUCCUUUUAUAUAGGAAGAAGAUGACGGUACUAUAUGAAUAAGCGCCGGCUAACUCCGUGCCAGCAGCCGCGGUAAUACGGAGGGCGCAAGCGUUACUCGGAAUCACUGGGCGUAAAGAGCGUGUAGGCGGAUUAAAAAGUCAGAAGUGAAAUCCUAUAGCUUAACUAUAGAACUGCUUCUGAAACUCUUAAUCUAGAAUAUGGGAGAGGUAGAUGGAAUUUCUGGUGUAGGGGUAAAAUCCGUAGAGACCAGAAGGAAUACCGAUUGCGAAGGCGAUCUACUAGAACAUUAUUGACGCUGAGACGCGAAAGCGUGGGGAGCAAACAGGGUUAGAUACCCUGGUAGUC